rfam:Streptomyces sp. 13-12-16 NODE_335_length_4532_cov_39.244484, whole genome shotgun sequence.
UCCGGGCGGACGCCGAGUCCUGCCGCCGCCCGGAUGACCGGUCGACAGGAGUGGAUCGGCAGGAGUGGAGGACCCAAGCACGACGGGCCGCCGGGACGUCAGUUCCGAGCAGUCCUUGGGGUGAAGCCGCACGUGUGCGGCCGGGCCACUUCGCCAGCCCGAAUCCGACAGGUCAUCCUUCACAGGCGGCUGACGAAGGGUUG